AACGAACGCUGGCGGCAGGCUUAACACAUGCAAGUCGAGCGCCCGUAGCAAUACGGGAGCGGCGCACGGGUGAGUAACGCGUGGGAACCUGUCCUGUAGUGGGGAACAACCCGGGGAAACCCGGGCUAAUACCGCAUGAGCACCGUGAGGUGGAAAGACUUCGGUCGCUACAGGAGGGGCCCGCGUCGGAUUAGCUAGUUGGUGGGGUAACGGCCUACCAAGGCUUCGAUCCGUAGCUGGUCUGAGAGGAUGAUCAGCCACACUGGGACUGAGACACGGCCCAGACUCCUACGGGAGGCAGCAGUGGGGAAUAUUGGACAAUGGGGGCAACCCUGAUCCAGCCAUGCCGCGUGAGUGAUGAAGGCCUUAGGGUUGUAAAGCUCUUUCGGCGGGGAAGAUGAUGACGGUACCCGCAGAAGAAGCCUCGGCUAACUCCGUGCCAGCAGCCGCCGUAACAC
rnacentral:rRNA from 1 species